rnacentral:rRNA from 1 species
UGCUGGAGGUAUCAGAAGUGCGAAUGCUGACAUAAGUAACGAUAAAGCGGGUGAAAAGCCCGCUCGCCGGAAGACCAAGGGUUCCUGUCCAACGUUAAUCGGGGCAGGGUGAGUCGACCCCUAAGGCGAGGCCGAAAGGCGUAGUCGAUGGGAAACAGGUUAAUAUUCCUGUACUUGGUGUUACUGCGAAGGGGGGACGGAGAAGGCUAUGUCAGCCGGGCGACGGUUGUCCCGGUUUAAGCAUGUAGGCGGAGGUUCCAGGUAAAUCCGGUACCUUAUUAACGCUGAGGUGUGAUGACGAGGCACUACGGUGCUGAAGUGAUAAAUGCCCUGCUUCCAGGAAAAGCCUCUAAGCAUCAGGUAACACGAAAUCGUACCCCAAACCGACACAGGUGGUCAGGUAGAGAAUACCAAGGCGCUUGAGAGAACUCGGGUGAAGGAACUAGGCAAAAUGGUGCCGUAACUUCGGGAGAAGGCACGCUGAUAUGUAGGUGAAGUCCCUGCGGACGGAGCUGAAA